rnacentral:rRNA from 1 species
GUCGGGAAUCUUGGGCAAUGGGCGCAAGCCUGACCCAGCGACGCCGCGUGAGGGAUGAAGGCCUUCGGGUCGUAAACCUCUGUCGGGAGGGAAGAACGUCAGCGAGGUGAAUAAUCUCGUUGGUUGACGGUACCUCCAAAGGAAGCGCCGGCUAACUCCGUGCCAGCAGCCGCGGUAAUACGGAGGGCGCAAGCGUUGUUCGGAAUCACUGGGCGUAAAGCGCGUGUAGGCGGCCGGGCAAGUCGGAUGUGAAAUCCCGAGGCUCAACCUCGGAACUGCACUCGAAACUGCUCGGCUAGAGUCCCGGAGAGGAUGGCGGAAUUCCCGGUGUAGGGGUGAAAUCCGUAGAUAUCGGGAGGAACACCAGCGGCGAAGGCGGCCAUCUGGACGGUGACUGACGCUGAGACGCGAAAGCGUGGGGAGCAAACAGGAUUAGAAACCCCGGUAGUCC